AUUGAACGCUGGCGGAAUGCCUAACACAUGCAAGUCGAGCGAGGUGUAGCAAUACAUCUAGCGGCGGACGGGUGAGGAACGCAUAGGAAUCUACCUUUUAGUGGGGGAUAACCCGGGGAAACUCGGAUUAAUACCGCAUACGAUCUACGGAUGAAAGUGGGGGACCGCAAGGCCUCACGCUGUUAGAUGAGCCUAUGUCCGAUUAGCUAGUUGGUAGGGUAAUGGCCUACCAAGGCGACGAUCGGUAGCUGGUUUGAGAGAACGAUCAGCCACACUGGAACUGAGACACGGCCCAGACUCCUACGGGAGGCAGCAGUGGGGAAUUUUGCGCAAUGGGCGAAAGCCUGACGCAGCGACG
rnacentral:rRNA from 1 species